rnacentral:rRNA from 1 species
AAGCAUGCGUAGUGGACGGCUCGGUUCCCGUGUCGAUGAAGGACGUAGCGAAAUACGAAAGGUGUUGCGAAUUGCAAGAUUUCGUGAGUCAAUGAAUAUCCGAAUGCAUUGUCGUCCCUUCGCAGUCUUCGGGUUGCAAGGGGCGCGUCGGCAACAUCGGCU